CACGUAGGGCGCAAGCGUUGUCCGGAAUUAUUGGGCGUAAAGAGCUCGUAGGCGGCGGUGCUGGCCCGGCGUGAAAGCCCCCGGCUCAACCGGGGAGGGUCGUCGGGGACCGCACCGCUUGAGGGCGGUAGGGGCUGGUGGAAUGCCUGGUGUAGUGGUGAAAUGCGUAGAGAUCAGGCGGAACACCCGUGGCGAAGGCGGCCAGCUGGGCCGUCCCUGACGCUGAGGCGCGAAGGCGUGGGGAGCGAACGGG
rnacentral:rRNA from 1 species